UUUAUCAUUGAACUGGUGAGUCAUAUUGUCUAUGACCAUGUAGGCAUUAGUGAUACAGCUUAAAUACUAGCCAGGUAGAGGGAUGUCAGACCACACUGCUUCCCGAAUCUGUUGCUCCAGGGACCAUUUAAAGCACAGGACGAGGAGGGAAACUAGACGGGAUCACCUAGUCCUUCACCUCCAGACUCUCCCUUCAGAAUGAAGCUUUUGCUGGUGGCCGCCCUGCUGAGCACUGCAGCUGCUCAGCCAAUCCCUCUUGGACAGUCUGGAGGAAGUUCCAGUGAACAGAGAUUUAACUUUUACCCACCACAAAUCCUGCCGUUCUUUCCUCAGUUUCCUCUUCCGCAGGCUCCUCUGAUCCCGAUUCCUUUUCCUUUUCCUUUUGAUUCAAAUCAGGUUCUGACGCCUAAUCAACUUCUGGCGUUAAUUACUUCUAUUUUGAACCAACUGCAGGGUUUCCUUGGGAGAUAAUCUUCUCUGCUACACCAGAAGACAUGCACUAACGGUUUCAAUGUUUCUUCUAUUGCAGGUGGUCCAGGUUAUUUGCUUUGUUAUCUGCAGUUUGGAAUGGUCUUACAAUCUUGUAGACUCUAUAGUAAACAUUCUGUGAAACAUCAAAUACCACAGGCAAAUCUACUAUCUACAGCCGUAUGCUCUAAAUAAAAUUCUCACUAAAACUCC